rnacentral:rRNA from 1 species
UACAGAGGGUGCGAGCGUUGUUCGGAAUUAUUGGGCGUAAAGCGCUUGUAGGCGGCACGUCAAGUCGCGUGUGAAAUCCCCAGGCUUAACCUGGGAAGUGCGCGCGAAACUGACGAGCUUGAGUGCCGGAGAGGGUCGCGGAAUUCCCAGUGUAGAGGUGAAAUUCGUAGAUAUUGGGAAGAACACCGGUGGCGAAGGCGGCGACCUGGUCCAAGACUGACGCUGAGGCGCGAAAGCGUGGGGAGCAAACAGG